rnacentral:tRNA from 1 species
GGGGAUAUGGCUCAGUGGUACAGUAUUUGCCUCGCAUGUUCAAGUCCCUAGGUUCAAUCCCAGUAUCAUCA